AGAGUUUGAUCCUGGCUCAGGAUGAACGCUGGCGGCGUGCCUAACACAUAGCAAGUCGAGCGAGAAACGUUUCGAAUGAAACUUCGGUAGAUUUAAAAGUGGAAAGCGGCGGACGGGUGAGUAACGCGUAGGCAACCUGCCCUUAGCAGGGGGAUAGCCAUUGGAAACGAUGAUUAAACCCCAUAAUGCGGAAGAUUCACAUGGAUAAUCCGCCAAAGAUUUAUCGGCUAAGGAUGGGCCUGCGUCUGAUUAGAUAGUUGGUGAGGUAACGGCCCACCAAGUCAACGAUCAGUAGCCGACCUGAGAGGGUGAUCGGCCACAUUGGAACUGAGACACGGUCCAAACUCCUACGGGAGGCAGCAGUGGGGAAUAUUGCACAAUGGGCGAAAGCCUGAUGCAGCAACGCCGCGUGAAGGAUGAAGGUCUUCGGAUCGUAAACUUCUGUCCUUGGGAAGAACAGAUGACGGUACCCAUGGAGGAAGCCCGGCUAACUACGUGCC
rnacentral:rRNA from 1 species